UGUUUCGGCUAGGGGGCCAUCCCGGCUUACCAACCCGAUGCAAACUGCGAAUACCGGAGAAUGUUAUCACGGGAGACACACGGCGGGUGCUAACGUCCGUCGUGAAGAGGGAAACAACCCAGACCGCCAGCUAAGGUCCCAAAGUCAUGGUUAAGUGGGAAACGAUGUGGGAAGGCCCAGACAGCCAGGAUGUUGGCUUAGAAGCAGCCAUCAUUUAAAGAAAGCGUAAUAGCUCACUGGUCGAGUCGGCCUGCGCGGAAGAUGUAACGGGGCUAAACCAUGCACCGAAGCUGCGGCAGCGACACUGUGUGUUGUUGGGUAGGGGAGCGUUCUGUAAGCCUGCGAAGGUGUCCCGUGAGGGAUGCUGGAGGU
rnacentral:rRNA from 1 species